UGGCCUUGUUUUUCAGAAAAAAAUUUAAAACUCUCUCCCCCUCUCCUCUUUCAGCCCAACCUCUGGCGUAAAGUCCGUCCGAUCGCCGCCGAUCAUGCAACCCGGCGCCGCCGCACACGAUGGCCGGCGAAAGUGAAAAAGUCCCUCUCGAAGGUUUCGACCCCCCCCCCGAGCCGGAUCCGGCCUCAAAGCUUCAAAAAAAUGAAGGAAAUGGGACCAUCGGCCUCUUCAAUGAUCGACUCAGCAUCAAAGAAGGAGCCCGACGACAAAGAGGCGGAUCGACUCCCGUGAUUUGAUGGCGCAAGUGAGGGUGGGUGGCAGACGCGCGGCGGUGGCAGAAGGCAGGUGGCUGCGGCGGCAGGCGUCAGAAGGGCGCGGGGUAGGGUGUAGUCAGCAACGAUCAUCAAAUCAGUUUGUGUAAUCAAUCAGAAAUUUGUGUUUCUUCUUCUUGUUCAUUAUUCCAAGGUAAAAGAAUUCAUUGCUAUAAUAAUACAAUUACGACAAGUAAGAUGGAAAUAAUAUACACCCACGGAUUAGUUUAGUUUGUAAAGACGAUUAUAUUCAUGGGGUGAGUUUAAAAAUAUCA